rfam:Triticum urartu cultivar G1812 contig119322, whole genome shotgun sequence.
AUAAUAAUCCCUCCGUCCGAGAAUACUUGUCCUAGAAAUGAAUGUAUCUAGACUUAUUUUAGUUAUAGAUACAUCCAUUUUAUCCAUUUCUAGGACAAGUAUUUCCGGACGAAGGGGGUAUUCA